rnacentral:rRNA from 1 species
AGAGUUUGAUCCUGGCUCAGAAUGAACGCUGGCGGCGUGCUUUACACAUGCAAGUCGAGCGAGGCGGGUAGCAAUACCCAGUCGAGCGGCGAACGGGUGAGUAACGCGUGGAUGACCUGCCUUGAGGUGGGGGAUAACUCGGGGAAACUCGAGCUAAUACCGCAUGUGAUCGAGAGAUCAAAGGGGGCGCAAGCUCCCGCCACAAGAGGGGUCCGCGUCCGAUUAGCUAGUUGGUAGGGUAAUGGCCUACCAAGGCGACGAUCGGUAGCCGGCCUGAGAGGGUGAUCGGCCACACUGGAACUGAGACACGGUCCAGACUCCUACGGGAGGCAGCAGUGGGGAAUUUUGCGCAAUGGGCUAACGCCUGACGCAGCAACGCCGCGUGGAGGAUGAAGGUCUUUGGAUUGUAAACUCCUGUCAGCAGGGAAAAAGGGACUGGGCCUAAUACGCCUGGAACUUGAUU